rnacentral:tRNA from 1 species
GCCGGGAUGGCACAACAUGGUACUGCGCAGGAUUGCUAAUCCUGUUUCCUUAUGGAUAUCUGGGUUCAAAUCCCAGUCCCGGCG